GACGAACGCUGGCGGCGUGCCUAAUACAUGCAAGUCGAACGGUCUUUUCUAUGGAAGCUUGCUUCCACUGAGAAGAUAGUGGCGAACGGGUGAGUAACACGUGGGUAACCUGCCCAUAAGAGGGGGAUAACAUCCGGAAACGGGUGCUAAUACCGCAUAGUUUUCUUGAUCGCAUGAUUGAGAAAGGAAAGACGGCCUUUGUGCUGUCGCUUAUGGAUGGACCCGCGGCGUAUUAGUUAGUUGGUGAGGUAACGGCUCACCAAGACGAUGAUACGUAGCCGACCUGGGAGGGUGAUCGGCCACAUUGGGACUGAGACACGGCCCAAACUCCUACGGGAGGCAGCAGUAGGGAAUCUUCCGCAAUGGACGAAAGUCUGACGGAGCAACGCCGCGUGAGUGAAGAAGGUUUUCGGAUCGUAAAACUCUGUUGUCAGAGAAGAACAAGUUGGAGAGUAACUGCUCCAGCCUUGACGGUAUCUGACCAGAAAGCCACGGCUAACUACGUGCCAGCCGCCGCCGUAACAC
rnacentral:rRNA from 1 species